GGGGGGAAAUGCAAAUUGUGGCGUUUAAAAACGCGCACAAAUCGCUCGCCGCAAUUAAACGGCGCCCCGAAACGCGUGCUCGGAUAGAGCCCGCCUCCCGGACGAUUUUAUGACUGUAUUUUAUGCGUGCCAUGUCUCUGGCGUGGCAUCAGCCCAUAUAUACAUAGUUUGCGGCUAAUGACUCCGCCUGGAGAGCGGGGAGCGGAUGCAAAUGGGAGUCGGAGACGCCUUGUCCACUCAUUAAGUGGUGUUAGGCAACCAGUUCCGAGGACAGCAUGAUGGAUUGCCGGCCAGCUGAAUAACUCGGGCCCCGAUCGCUCAUUCAGCCGGCCAUUCAUUCAUUCAUUCAUCGGGCUUUUUGGGACUCGAGCGGACCGAAACCUGAUUACGGUAAAAGGCCAAAACGGACCGUUCUCGUUGCCCUGGCCUGGUCGAUGCCUCGGGGCCAGCGUUAGUCAUCGUCAUUGUCGCCAGCUCCUCCUCCGUCGCCUCUCCUCCAGAGCCUUAACCUGCGGCUGACCGAAUUAUAGCUCUCGGAUUGCGUGGAGCGAGCAAACCAGUUUCCGCCAGCCGUCGCCGUUCCAGCAUCAGCUCCUACUCCAACAGCAACUCCUCGCCAGGCCAAAAAAGGCCAGGAGAAAUUGCCGCAGUCGAAACAAUUAGACAGCCCGACCAGGCUAGCGGCUACAACUUGUUGCCGCCGCGGACAAAAAACGCAGAGUCUUGCGCUGGGAAAAGUAAAAAGUGUCUAAUUAAAUGCUUGGCCGCUCAGGCCGCGGGAAAUCCGAAGAAGGAAUCAACUAAACGAAGUUGGUAUACUCUAACCAAAUUAUAAAAGUAAAUAAAAUGUUUAAAAUAUAUAAAUCAAAGCCUACAUGUUCAGUCAGAAAGGUAAAUUCUUAAAAUAAUACAAUAUCCCCUUUCUGUUUACGAAAUAUUUGAAAUUCUUGCUCUUCUAGCUCAAAUAUCAGUAGCCAAAAGUCAUAGCUGGUAAUUUUGAAAACUUGGCCUUCAUUUAACACAAAUUAUUCAGAACUAACAGCUUCAAAACGUUUUAUUUACAAGCGACGUAUGAGUGUUGGCGAGCUAAAAUUAAAGGUGAUUUUAUUCACCGAGAGUGUUCAAUGUUUGCUUCCCAAAGUUCUGAACUUAGUCAAUGUACCCGAUCGAGGAGGAAAGUGUACAUCAGGCAAACAACAAUUAACAUAAAUUGCUUACGCGAUGCGGCCCAUUGAGUCCGGAGAAGGGGUUAAGGGGUCACAGUUGCCGCCCGUCAAUCAUUCGCGCAAACGAACUGCGACUAGGCGGCAAGGGUUUUCAAUUUCCACGCUUGCCAGCUUGCCUAUUGCCGAUUUUCCAGCCCCGCUGGAAACUACAGAGCCCACCUGUCGCACUACGCCGGCUUGUGCGAUAAGCAUCUCAUCACAACAAAAGAUUAACACGCCGGGAAGGGACAAAGAUCAGAGGAUGGCCAGAUGGACAGGCCUCCGAUUAGAGACGAGCAGGCGGCGGCAGGGUCUCAAGACAACCUGCCUGCACACAAUAAGCAGAGAGAAAAAUCAUGGGGGAUACAAAAAUAAAUGAACUAUAGAUUUUA